UUGGAGAUUUACAGGAAGCCGGGAAUGUGGGUGUAACUCUCCUUAUUCUUAAAUGUUGGCCUCUAAUUCAGAAAAUUAGUUUAAGCUGAGAACUGAAGCACUGAGUGAGAAUUCCUCAGGGGGAAGCCUAUCGGCCUAGGGAGGGGUGGGGGUGUCCUCCCCAGAGGUGGGGCCUGACUCAGGCCCCUGGGUUUCGCUCAGAACAGCAAGGCCGAAGGUUCUGGCUCUCCUCCUUCCCUCCUGGAACAGAUGCCCCCUGGGAUGACGAGCCAGCUCAGACCCCUCACCAGGAGGAAUACUGAGUCCAAGGAAGGACCAGAGUUGCUUUCGGAGAUCUUCAUCCAGACACACCCGUAGACUCAGCACGGAGCUGGGCACGUACAACAAGAGGAAAUUAAAUGCGUGCUGACAAACUUGUUCUCUGGCUAAGACUGGAAGAUCCACCAUGCUUGGCAGGUGGAGCUCGGUAUCUCCCCUCUCCCCGCACACCCACUUUGGGGAACCCUGGAGGUGGGGGGAUUUCUCGGGGCCAGGGUGUUGGGAGCGCUACGAUCACCCUGACCUCAGCUGUUCGGAAGGUGCCAGUUCCGGGCGCGCGCGGGGGUGAGCGGGGCGCGCUAACAGAUCCCGCCACGAGGGGGCGAUAAACCCCCAAAACCUGAAGCUGGGGACCGGGGAGGUCAGGGUCCUCGAGACUGUGUGCAUCUUUGCGCACUUGACCCGCCCCCGGCGGACUUGGACCGCACCUCCGCUGACCGACCGCGGCUCUUCCGGGCGCGCUCCCCAGAGUUUGGGUGAAUGUGGGGGAACAGGGGGAACGCCCCGCGAAGACUCGUAGCCCCGUAUCCUAAGGAAGAGGUGGCGCGCGUGUGAAAAACUGGCACGGUGGGAGGAGGGGGCUAGAAAAUGCUGGAAUAUCGGGGAAGGCUGCGAUUAAGGCACAGGCGGACACUUCUCAUCUGUGUUUCUUUGUCUCCCUCUAGUGGAAAUCAAGGGAGCUUUAAAAUCUUUUUCAUCCGGAAGAUUCCUUUUUUGUUUUCCUUUUCUUUCCCUCCCUUCCCCUUCCUUCCUUACCAUAGCUUUAUGCCUUUGUUUGUUGUUUCUUUUUUUAACUAUUAAAUGGCCAUCAGUAAGAAAAUGUAUAAGACAACAAAUGAAAGAGUAAAAUUUAUCUGGUUCCUCGCAGAGUUCCAAGUCAUUGUUAAUUCUACAAAACCAAGUUAUGGAAUAAUAUAAACACAUAACUCCA